rnacentral:rRNA from 1 species
AACGAACGCUGGCGGCAGGCUUAACACAUGCAAGUCGAACGCCCCCGCAAGGGGAGUGGCAGACGGGUGAGUAACGCGUGGGAACAUACCCUUUCCUGCGGAAUAGCCCUGGGAAACUGGAAUUAAUAUCGCAUACGCCCUACGGGGGAAAGAUUUAUCGGGGAAGGAUUGGCCCGCGUUGGAUUAGCUAGUUGGAGGGGUAAAGGCCUACCAAGGCGACGAUCCAUAGCUGGUCUGAGAGGAUGAUCAGCCACAUUGGGACUGAGACACGGCCCAAACUCCGACGGGAGGCAGCAGUGGGGAAUAUUGGACAAUGGGCGCAAGCCUGAUCCAGCCAUGCCGCGUGAGUGAUGAAGGCCUUAGGGUUGUAAAGCUCUUUCACCGAUGAAGAUAAUGACGGUAGUCGGAGAAGAAGCCCCGGCUAACUUCGUGCCAGCCGCCGCCGUAAGAC